UCAUCCUCUCAGUCUCCCUCUCUCUCUCAUCCUCUCAGUCUCACUCUCUCUCUCUCUGUUCUUAUAAUCUACCAGAGGAAGUGGGAGUAUUUGUUGCCCUCACUCUUGGUGUUGAGGGAAAGGAGGCAAAAGGAGGUAGGAGCACAUAGCAUGUCUUCAUUAAAGUGUCACCUCCCAUUAUUUGGCUCCUAUCUCAAUUAGCAAUAGCUUUAAUAAUGGGUCUCCAUCUCUCCUUCUCUCUCUCUCUCUCUCAUUCUACUCUCUUAUUCCCCCUCUCCUUUCCUCUCUCCCUCCAUGGCGUCUGGAUGCUUGUGGGGAGCGGCGUGAGGCAAGAAAGAGAGCGAAGCAGCACAUCUGUGCUGUUUUCACCAGAGCAGCUCUCCUGCUCUCUCUCUCUCUCUCUCUCUCUCUCUCUCUCUCUCUCCCUCCAUCUCUCUCUCUCUCUCUCUCUCUCUCUCUCUCUCUCUCUCUCUCUCUCCCCCUCUGAGAGCAAUUAGGACGAGCUGCCGGUGGCUGGGCUGCUGGCAGAGGCGCUGGAUCCCCCUAUAAUCACCCGCGCAUCAGAGCCAGCACUCCGCUACAGCACCGCAGGUCACACAGGGCCCCACGCUACACCACCAGAGACGCCGCGCGCAAUGGAGUGUGCUGAGGAGGAGAGGAGGCAGUGAACACAGGCGAUGACUCUCCUCAGCCAUUAGCCCAUCUCUGUCUGCUCUGCUGUGUGUCUGUCUGGAGGGCUGGACCGCUGCGGCAGACGACCAGCAGCAAGGUGCUGUGGCCACCUGUCCAGCCCAGUGGAGGUCCACGCAGCUUGGACACACCACACGCCACUUCCCCAGAGUGGACUAGGGCCAUGGCACUGAGAGAGAGAAUGAGACGGAGAGCAUGGCGUUGGGCUCUAUGUGGGUCACAGCUGAGGACCUCCAGGAGGACAAUGGAACAGUGUCAGCCGCCCACAGUGAUGAAUGUGAGGGACCCAAGUCUCUCCUCUCGCGCUCCCUCAGCCCCUACCGCUGCCACCUCCACCAGUCUAAGGAUCAAAUCACAGAUGUACCUACCAGAGUUGCUGUGAGUGAUCAUUCACUGGUGUGUAUGCUAAGAAGGGACAAAUGACCCACCAAGACAUGGAUGACAGAUGGUACUGUAAUCUCAGCAGCAACAUGUCAAUUAACCUCCACUUCUGCUUGACAAUGAUUUACAUUUGUUUUGUGGCAGUCAAUACAUUGCAGCGUUGUGCAGUUCUAAGUGUGACUGAGUCUGUUCUGCAGAGUCUCCCUAAACCUGAUAAAGUCUCUUUGCAGACUGCAGUUAGGGACAUUGAUAUUGUGGAGGAGUCAGUGGUAGGAUUACACCAAGUGUCACAGUGUAAACCUUGCAAAGGAAGGACGAACAAGUGUUAAACCUUGUCUCCCCUGUCCUUACAACCAAGACUUGAGAAAGUCAUUCAUUUCUUCUGCAAGCUCCACGUGGUCUCACCCCUGGCAACCUAAGCAGACUGAUUUUACAGGGCAUUUGAUCUUUCCCCUCGGAGAUCUGGGGGGAAAACGAGUUUCUCCUUGAAUGAAAAUCACUGACGGCAGUUAAACCCUCUCCAGGUGAGAAGCUGAAGUCAGACUUGGUUUCACUUUCCAGUUUGCUUCUCCACCCUCAGCGUCUUUACAUCAAAUCUUCCACCUGAGAACACGCGCUCUGUGAUCCACACCAGGUGGACGACUUGACUUUGACAAAUGUAGGAAAACUGACCUUCAUGUAUCCACUCCGAUUGAAAUCACAAUACUAUGCAUGCCGACAUGUUUCACUUUGUAUCAGGUCAUGUGUUGCCAAGUCCUGCUGCCUCAGAAAGCACAUAAAGGAGUGGAGUGGUGUGGGUCUCCCAGCAUGUGGCCGUGCCUGUGUUGGGCCCUUACUUAGGUUUCUAAUCAGUUCGCAUGAUUGAGCUGACAUUGCCUUGACGCGGGCCUUAAUUCCUUUUUUUGCCCUCCUAUAUCAAACGGACGGCACGAUCCUUCAAAGGGACCCCCUCGUCAAAGUUUCAGAAGGCCUCUGUCAGCGUGAAAAGAACAUGACCUUUAAGUUGUAUCAGCAUGUUUGCUGGUGCAUACGGAGGAGCAGAAAGGUUCAGCAGCCUGACAAAGAAGAGAAAAAAACAAGGAAAGGAAGAAGGGGGAAAAAAGCAGGCCCUCUCGAAAAAUAACAUCAUUUACUAAGAGGUCUCAGCACAGAGCAGUUUGUUGACACUCGGCACCAUGCCUUUAAUACCGUUCACUCCAGAGACUUUUGGAUGAAAUGUUUGUCAGUAGCCUUCUGCAUCUGCAUUGGAGCUGAAGGGCUGGUGACUAAGCACGGUUUCAUAAAUAAAAUAAUAACAUGUGUUUUUAUCUGUAUCUUUUAACACACAAACGUUCUAAUAGUUUAUUGAUGGUGCUUUCUGGUGGAACUGACAAGCUGAACCUUUUAGGCCACUUUGACUUAAAGCCCAUUUCCAAAUGUGCUAAUCCCCUACUGGAGUCAGUAAUGGUUAUCACUAUGCUGCCCAAACUGUGAAGCUGUCUGCUCUCCAUGCUUGUGUGCAUGGUUUGUGAUUUAAGUGAGACAAGGUGAAUUGCAAAGCUGCUGCAUCUCUGGCAACUCUGCCAAAUGGACCUAUCAAGCUCUGUGAGAGAGCCAUCAAGGUAGACAUCUGCUCAUGGAUAAGCAAAAGUCUCAAUAAGUGUCUCAAACAUGAUUCUUUUACACUAACACUAACUAGUACUACUCUUCUAGUCCAGUACUAUCUUGCUAUCUUCAUGUGUUGUUUUGGUGUUGAUUACAUGCUGAUUACACACAACAAAUAUUUUUUUAAAAAAUGGGACAUUGAAAGGCUCUCCUAAAUAGUAGUAUGACAUCUAAAAUGACCACACUAUUAAUAUUGAUAUAAAAAUGAUCCACAUAAAAAUGCCUAAUUCUACACCAGGAUAGUACACAAAAGAGGUCACAUCAAUAACUCCACAAAGAUGGACCUUGUUAACAUCUUGGGGUUGGAAUCCCCCCCAAAUAAUAAUCUACUGAUUUUCUCCAUCUGGUCAUUGAAGUCAUGCGAUUGGCAUGCGCAACACAUUGCCUGGGAGUGUUGCUGACUGGCCUGACAGUGAAGUCCCUCAAUCCCAGCCGAUCAGUCAUUCUUAUGGAGGUCUGAUGGGGAACAGCAUCAGAGGGGAGGAAGGGAGAGAGAGAGAGAGGGAGAGAGAGAGGACUUCAGAUAAGCAAAACAAUCUGCUGUACCUGUGUCAGUGGAGCAGCAGGGAACAGAUUGAGAUACAGCGAUAAACCAGAGCUAGAAAUGGCAUAACGUAAGAGUCAAGUGGGCGAUAUGCAUUGGAGAGUUUAUUUCAGGGUUUAGGUUGAGGUCUGAGCCCGCACUUCACUCCUCUGUAAAACACUUGAGUCCAUUAGCUUGUCAAGCUAGAAGCCUUUGACAUUAUUGACCAUAACUGACUCACAAACUACAGCUCUUUAGAUGAAAACAGAUGUUUGAGCAGAGCACGGCACAUACAGCACGAAUUGAAACAUUUCAAUGCAGCGCACACCUCACCUUUAAUAUUCACAUAUUCCACCUUUUCCUUGCACUGAAAAAAAUAAAUAGAAUUAUCAUAUGCAUUUUAUAAAAUGGAGGAAGACAUGUUCCUUUUGUGAGCUUUGGUGCUAGCCCAAAAGAGAAGGGAGGAAAACAAAAUAAGCAAAAAGACAAAUGCGACCUUUAGAGAUUACUGGAAGAAAGCCCAUUAUGCUGAAGUUUACAGGGUAAUCCCCACUGUGCGUAUGCGCAGAUGGGCAGGCGAGCUGGGCUCAGGUCGCUGUUAUUUGCAUUGCGCUGAUGCAUUAGCAUAGUGCACAGGUUCCUCUCUGCCAUGGAUUAGCACGCUUUGCACUUUUAUCAGCGACUCAACCUGCAGCACAAUAGAUUGCUCUGGGUUUUUUCCAUUCUUUUUCUCACUUUCUUUUAUUUUUUUUAUAAAACACGAGGCAUAUGGAAACGUGAUGCAGAUCUUGAUCGCCAUAGUGCUUUGGGAGAUGCACUACCCCGGACCCAAGUUAGACCUUAUUUUUAUCAUGCUGGGUACUGCAUAUUUCAGCUAUGCUCUGCCUUGGGACAUUUUUCCUUGAGAACGAUAGGUACCCCACACCAUCCUAACAGAUACUCUGUGACACAAUGUAAAUCCUAAUCACUGCUUGCUUGGGGGAAAUAUGUGACCAGUGGAAAAUAAUGUGCUUCAAAAGAUUUUUUUUAAAGCAGUUAUAAAAACAUGCUAGCCCUGCAGUUUUGUGAAAUGAAUCCAGGCAAUGUGUACUUUUGCAGAACAAAGGAAAGCUGGCCUAUCAUUGCUUGGAAUCUCAAAAAAACAAAGAUGGAGUGGCGUUGUGCGUGAGAAGAACCGAAUGGCCAGCUUGUUGUCGUGGGGUGGGUGUUCGGAGGAGGUGCUGUGAGCUGGCCGGCGGGAAGGGGAUGAGACACAGACGGCCUCUGGACACGGGGUGUGGGCGGUGACUGAUGACCACUCACCAGAGGAGGAUCAACUCUCGGCGGGACUCAAUAAAGACAUGGGGGGGUGGAGGUGGGGGCACCCUGGGAGCACUCGCCACCUGAACCCACGCUUGUUAGAGUACGGGUGUUUGCAAAGCGUAGGCUGGUGUCAGGGCCCCCAAAACACGAGUGUCAAUACAUUUACAUCAGCCUGUGAUGUGACCUCUCCUCAGGAGACACCGUCCCAAUUGGAAAAUGUCACGAUAAGGGGGCCAGCUACUGGAGCUGUGUUGACAUGAGCGCACUGCAUUUACUGUGAUGUACCUGUCAGGAUUCUGAUUGUAGCUUGCGCUCAGAAAGUUCAUGCAUUGCCAACCCAACGGUCAAAUGACCAAGCCAGGCCUCAAUAUCUGAUGUAAUUCCGCUGAGCCGGAAGAAUCACCGAUUUCUCAAAGUAAAAUAUUCUCAUAAAUUACACUGGAGACAGAUUAUUCUAAAUGCAACUGGAUCAAAGGCUAAAGAUAAAGCCAUGGUAGGGGUCAACAAAAUAAACCUGAAUGCAGAAAGCUAAAACUGAAUAAAGUGUUGCCAAACAAGCCAAACUACUUGUUUACUUUCACACAGGGUGUACUCUUAAUCUUCAUAUGAAGGAGAUCAGCCUGAUAGAGCAAUGGGUUUCAUUAAAGUUUUCCACUGCUUCAUUUACACACUGUUUAAUGGGUGUUGGUAGGAGAUGUUACAUUUUUUAUUUUCUACAGUUUGUAGUCUAUGUAUGCCAUGUUUCCUAAGCUACAUGCGUCAUGCAUCUUACAAUAAUACAACUUAGUAUCUUAAAAUAAUGAGAAAAUCGAGACAGUAUCUUGAAAUUACGAUCUGGAAGUAAUAUUUAGCUGUGUACAGUAUGUAGUCAAUACGUGUGUCAUGUAGUGUAUUCAGUCCUUGUCUUAUUUCAAGAUAAUUAUGUAAUUAGUAAUUACGAUUUACUACCUUGAAAUAAUGAGAUAAUAUUUUGAAAUGACGGCUUUUUAUCUGGAAAUAAGAUGAAAUUUUGAAGGGUGUAUGCUAUUCGUACCCUGGUGCAAUUAGAAGUGAAUGCUAUUCGUACCCCGGUGCACACG